UUUUCAAGUUUUAGUGUGACUCUCUUAAGACUAAAUGUGUACUAUCUACUCAUUCAUGGUAUCAAGCAAUUUAGCAAUCAACAUCUUUUGCCAAAUCAUCACAUUUCCACUUGUUACUCAAUGUAGCAGCAUGGAUCAAGCAGUCUCAUUAGCUGCGAGAAGCAGACGAAUCGAAUCGAGUUUUUAUCCUUGCAAGGUAAACCUAAACACACGACGUGGCGAGGCACUCCGUCCCCACACACAUCAACUGUCCCCAUCGAUUCCCCGUCAGUAGAUCAGGGCUCACCGCCUUGGCGUACAAUGCCUCACUGACCCCGACUGCCGUCGUGCAGAGACCGCAAUUGUACCCACCAUAACCGGAAUGGGAGACCACGUCUCAGGUCGCGUGAGGAGUAAAGUUUGCUGCCAGGUUCAAUCAGGUACUAGGCUUACCGAUUUACCAUAUUUCUCGGUAUAUGUUUAGUACGUUCAAACGCUUGACUCACGGUACCACACCUUAAUCCUUAUUCCAAUUUCCGUCCUGUAGACAACGCAUCCCCAUGGACCGUUGUCAAUAGACCAUCAUCAUUUCGAUAUAAAUUGGAUACAAGCAAUUUCCUGACCUCGCGCGAGUGUUAGAAAAAUCACUCGACUUCUACCGAGAUCCCUAAUUAGCAAAGCAGCUACUCAACCUAGCAUACUAGUAUCCAUCUCAAUAGGAAUCCUGAGUUAAUACAACUAUGGUUUCAGGCAACUCCUACACUUAAGUGCACAAUUCAAGCCUACAAUCAUUAAGUGCAGUAAAAUAAUAUAUAGAACUGGUUAUGCAUAAAACCGGGGCUUGCCUUCCGAAGAUGGGGCAGGCAGAUCCUCUUGGGCAGGCUCUGGUGCUGGAUCCGGGGCUACCUCCUGAGCAACUCCCUGCUCCAGCACAAGGAUGUAUUCUCCGUCCGCAAGGUUACAAUCUAUCGAAUGCAAUGAAUAAGAUAUAUGCAUGCUAUGAUAUGUAAAAUUCAUUAACAAUUAUGCCUAGUGAAGAAAAACUAAGUUAGUGAAUAACUUAGGGUUUCCUUGUUAUAAGAGGCUCUUAGGGUUUUAUGCUUAUCAAUUUAGGUUUGAGGUUUUGCCUAGGGAGAAGCAUAAUGGAUUAAGACUUGGAUUGCCCCUUAAAUGUUUUAGCAGGCACUCAAGGGGUUUUGCUGGUUUGGUUAGGGUAACAUUAGUCUCCACUAUUAAUUCCCCUUUUUAUUUUCUAUUUAUGAUUUUAAGGUGGGUUUGAACUACAACAGUGAUUUAAUUUUUUCCAAAACUUCUGAAAAAAUUACAGUGGUUUACUAUUGGUCAUUGUAGUCUGUCCUAUAAAUUUGAGAUCCAGAAUAAUUAGAAUAUGUCCUGUACAAAAAUAACAACAGUUGGGGCAAAAGGGUCCCUUUGCACUACAACUCUUAUCUAGGUGUAGGUUCUGCACUAACAGUCAUUUUUGCUGGUAUCUAAAGGUAAUAACAUGCUUCUGUGCCAAAAAUCACAGAGGGCUACUUAGUGGUUAUUUAGUUAGGAAUUUCUAAAGUUUAAUGCUAAAAAGACACUUACAACUAACUUGUUAUUUGAAAAAUGUCAAACAACAAAACUCAUAAUUUUUCUAUGUUCAUAAUAACAAAACAUUAGUUAUCUCAAGGUUUGGGGUGUUUUCUCCUCAGGGUUAUUUUUCUAUGGUUUUUCUAAGUUUUCCUUGUUUUCCUAAAAUAAAAGGUAUCUCAUUUCUUUUGUACUAAACAAAGGUAUAAUAAAUAUUUCUAGUGAACUACACUGAAUAAGAGAGCUACAAAAAUGUGGGUGCUCCCUGGUUUUUAUUUUAAACUACCUUUUAUAUUUUCUUUAACUUUAAGCUAGAAAUGAUUUAAAUGGAAACUCUACCUUAAUUUGGUGUACAGAGGGGUUUAUUAUUUUUAAACAGGUUAGGAAGUGAUUGAGUACUUCUCUGAAUUUUCUUAACCCCAGUCGAAUAGUAUAGCUAUUUUUCCUUAUUUCAUUUAGCUUUUGACUAGUUAAUCAUUUAAAUCAAAACUUUGAAGUUUUCUGCAACACUUACGAGUUUUAUAUUUUUCCUAGGUAGUUUACAUUAUUUAGAAUCUGGCAAAAUUAGUUUGGCUCGAUUUGGAUGAACCAAACUGAAGUUAUGAAUUUUUCAAGUUCUAUUUAUAUUUAAAUCAGAAAUAUGAAAAAGGUUUUCGACACUGGGCUUCUUUUAAAACAACCCCAUCAUUUAUACCCCUGCGGUACUAUUCCCUUGAGUCGCUGACAAGGCACAAAACUCCCUGGCCUUUACUUCUUCUCCCCUGAGGUCCCUCCCCUUAUUUAAACAGUAACUGCGAAAAUAAACAGGGCGGUGCGGCUUACCGGCGGCGAAGGAGGUCCGGUGAAGGGCGGGGUUGGCUCCGGGAGGUUCUUGCGGUCACAGCGAGGUACAACUUGACGGCGGUGGUGGCCGGAAUCGGCCGGUCCACGUGCGCAGGCGGGUGAACUCGUUGGCGGCGAGUGCUCCGGCCUAACCACGGUGGCAUAGGUCAAUCCAAGGGCACAGGGAGCUUCACGGGAUGUUAAGCAAUCGACUCGUGCAAGGAAUCGGAGAAUGACUUACCGUGGCGCUCGGUCUAUGCUUGUCGGCGGUCGGGUGAAGUCCGGUGACCGUGAACUGGCUUCUUCGGCGAGGCAAAGUUCGAUUCCUCGCUCGGGAAGCUUCACCGAGGCAUGCACGGUCUACUCCGAGGGUCGGACGCGGCUGAGAGAGGCUCUGCUGGCCGGUCUACGGUGGCGGGUGUUCGGGUGGCCGCGGGCACGCCGUGCGCGGGGCAACGCGGUGAUCUAGUGCUUCGGUGAGGUCGAGCGCGCGCGGGGGAGUACGGUCGAAGUCCCUGGUGGCUUUAUAGGCGCGGGCGCGGGCAACGGCGCUGGCUCGGCUUGGCGCGACACGGGGCACGCGGGGGCGGGCGUCGGGCGUGCUCUGGCGAGCUCAGGGCGCGUCGAACACGUGGCUCUUUGUUUCUGCUCUUCUUCUACCCCUCGCUAAGUAGCCAAACGUGCGAAUCUUGCCCUAAGACCUUUGAGAGUCUCUUCCCUGCACCUAGGGCUACCUAGUUCAUGUGAGUUCCAAGGGAAGAUAUGGUCGGCUUAGAGAGAUAUGGGGGUGGGAAGUUGGCUCUGUCAGAGCUGUCCACACCGAGACAAAACUUGUGCCAAGUCGUGUCAAACGACUUAGGGUUGGGUUCAAACUUUUCCAGGGUGUUCUAGAGGUCUUUAGGCGCCACUUUGUCAAUUGGGUCAAGUGGUUUUGAAGUUUGGAUGAGGGUGAACAUGUUUGAUCUUUGGAGGAGGGUUGGUUUUGGACUUAGAAAAAUUAUGAUUUUCCUUUUAUGCUCAACCCUUUGGUGAACCUUUUGGGGUUUUUUUGAAAUCUUUUUGGGGUCACUUUCUUACUAUUUUUGUAGGGUAUUAAGUGUACUACAUCUUUUAUAAUUGGCCCAAGGCAUGAUCAUGUGGUUUUCAUACCCUUUUGGUCAUACUCACUUCUAGGGCUCCCAUUGUCCAAAGGGGUUUGAUAUAGUUUUUUGGGCAAUUCCUUACUAUAUGUGCAUGAUAAAGCCAAGGCUUGACUUCUAAGAUGGGUUGCACUUACUUAGGAUCUUGAUUUCCAAGUUUGGAGUCCUUUGCUCAAAUUAAACCACAUGUGAUGAUGGUUUUAUUAUUGUAGUCUUGGGUGAACACCCUAAGUAACACCUGGUGUGUUACAGCCCUCCCCCUUAAAGGAAUCUUGUCCCGAGAUUUUAGGUAGAGCCCUUUGGAGGGGUGCCAUGAAGGUGUGCUGGUGUGUUGUUCCUUCCUUUAUCCAAGUUCCUCUAGUUAACUGCUCUUCGAAUGUCAUUCUCUUUGCAACUUCAGAAGGAAGUCCUUCUAAAGUUAUUUCCAAAGCUUACUAUACCUUUAACACCUGAGUUUUUCUUAUAUUUUGAUUCAAAGGGCAGGUGGGGGUGGAGUUUUGGAUUACGUACCGACUCCUUUGGGCAGAAAGUCGGGGAAGCGAGAACGUAGAAAAUCCUGAGUCUCCCAUGUAGCUUCUUCUACGGAAUGGUGACUCCACUGAACCUUAUACAUUUUGAUCGACUUUGCCCGCGUUGCUCUCCCCUUUUGAUCCAAUACCUUGACGGGGUGCUCUUGAUAAGACAAGUCUGGUUCUAUCUCAAUUUCCGGUUUAGGUAGUACUUCGGUGGGUAAGCGGACACAUUUUCAUAGCUGAGAUACAUGGAACACAUCAUGAACUGCUGACAUGUGGGGUGGCAACUUCAAUUGAUAUGCUACAGGCCCACAAGUUUCCUUGAUCUCAUAGGGUCCAAUGUAGCGAGGAGCUAACUUGCCCUUGAUUCCAAAUCUCUGAACACCUUUGGUGGGUGACACCUUAAGAUAGACAUGAUUUCCCACUUCGAACUGUAAAGGCUUCCUCCUUUUAUCAUGAUAGCUCUUUUGCUUGGCCUGAGUAGCCUCUAGGUUCCUCUUAAUAAUUCUAACCUUUUCCUCUGCUUCAAGUACUAAGUCUGGUCCAAAUAUUUCCCUCUCUCCUACUUGAGACCAAUUUAGCGGUGUCCUACACCUUCUUCCAUACAAGGCCUCAAAAGGUGCCAUCUGCAGACUAGACUGGUAGCUGCUAUUAUAUGAAAAUUUUGUCAAGGAUAGGCACUUGUCCCAAUUUUUACCAUAGUGUAGCACACAUGCCCGUAACAUGUCUUCCAAAAUCUGAUUCACCCUUUCUGUAUGACCAUCUGUUUGAGGAUGGUAUGAUGAGCUUCUUAUUACAUGGGUCCCCAGUGAUUCCUGCGAUUGCUCCCAAAAUCGUGCCACGAAUGGUGCUCCUCUGUCAGACACAAUGGUCUUCGGAAUUCCAUGCAAACACACUAUUUGAUCAAUAUAGAUUUCUGCAUACUUCUCUGUCCUGUGGGUGGUAUGUACUGGCAAGAAAUGAGCUGUCUUGGUCAACCGAUCCACGAUGACCCAGAUAGAAUCAUGGUGCCGGGAGGUAUUGGGCAAUCCCACGAUAAAAUCCAUGCAAAUAUCCUCCCAUUUCCAAGAUGGUAUGGGAAGGGGUUGCAACGUGCCUGCUACCUUCAAAUUACUAGCCUUGACUCUCUGGCAGGUGUCACAUUCAGAUAUAUACUUAGCAAUUUCCCUCUUCAUCCUGGUCCACCAAUAUAAAGAUCUGAGGUCAUGAUACAUCUUGUUACUACAAUAUCUUCUUUCUGAGCUCAGGGUUCUUGGGAACAACCAAUCGGUCUCCAAACCAUAGGAUUCCUUUGCUGUACUGAUGGAAGCAUUUGUAUUUGUCCACCUUUUGUUCGAUCAUUUCCUUGAUAACUUGAACACCCUUGUCACCAAUCUGUGCCAUGACUAUUUGCUCAUGUAAGGUGGGCUCCACUGAAAUAUAACUUAAAGCACUGGAGGAAACGACUUCUAUUUUUAGCUUGCACAACUCAUCACAUAGGGUGGUGAUCCUUGCAUCCAUACUCAUACAAUUGCACUGGGCUUUCCUGCUUAAGGCGUCUGCCACAACAUUGGCUUUGCCAGGAUGGUAAUGCACCUCUAAAUCAUAGUCCUUGAUUAGCUCUAACCAUCUUCUCUGCCUCAUAUUAAGAUCAGCCUGGGUGAAGAUAUAUUUGAGAAUCUUAUGAUCCGUGUAAAUAUUACAAUGAGCUCCCAUCAAGUAAUGUCUCCAAAUCUUGAGAGCAUGAAUCACAGCUGCUAACUCUAGAUCAUGUGUGGGGUAGUUCUGCUCAUGGGGUCUGAGUGCUCGGGAGGCAUAGGCAAUGACUCGGUUGUCUUGCGUCAAGACACAUCCCAAUCCAGUACCGGAAGCAUCGCAAUAAACCUCAAAGGGCUUCGUGUUGUCAGGUUGAGCUAGCACUGGUGCUGUUGUCAAAUGUUGCCUCAGUGUAUGAAAGGCAUCCUCACACUUAUGGCUCCAUUCAUACUUGACUCCUUUCUUCAACAAUUCAGUCAUUGGCUUGGCAAUUCUGGAGAAAUCCGGAAUGAAUCCCAGAAAACUCCGAAUCUACCGUACUGUGGUAGGAGGUUUCCAAUCCAUCACUUCUUGUACCUUCUCAGGAUCAACUGAUAUCCCAUCCUGAGAAAUUGUGUGACCCAAAAAUUUAAUUUCCCUCAGCCAGAAAUCAUAUUUAGACAACUUAGCAUAUAGACGAUGAUCGCGCAGUCGCUGAAGCACGAUGUGUAGAUGCUCAGUAUGCUCGUCUUCAUUCUUGGAAUAAACCAGAAUAUCGUCAAUGAAAACCACCACAAAUUUGUCCAGCUCUGGCAUGAAUACCAAGUUCAUCAAAUACAUGAAAUAUGCUGGAGCAUUGGUCAGCCCAAAAGACAUCACCAAAAACUCAUAAAGCCCAUAUCUGGUAGAGAAAGUUGUCUUCGGAAUAUCACUAGCCCUGAUCUUGAUCUGAUGGUAGCCCGAGCGAAGGUCUAUCUUGGAGAAUACUUUGGCUCCCACCAACUGGUCAAACAAUACGUCAAUGCGGGGUAAUGGAUACUUAUUCUUGAUGGUUACCGCAUUGAGAGGGCGGUAAUCGACACACAUUCUCAGACUUUCAUCCUUCUUCUUUACAAACAAGGCUGGGCAUCCCCAUGGUGAAGUACUCGGGCGAAUAAACCCCUUGUCCAACAACUCUUGCAGUUGCUUUUUCAAUUCCGCCAAUUCCGCUGGAGGCAUCCUAUAGGGUCUCUUGGAUAUAGGAGCAGUUCCAGGUUGCAAUUCAAUUGUGAACUCUAUGGCUCUGUCGGGUGGCAUCCCUAGCAAUUCAUCUGGAAAAACAUCUGGGUAGUCACAGACCAAUGGGAUCCUCUCAACCGGGGACUCUAUCAUAACGAAGACACAGGAACGGGUACAACCCUGAUCGGGCAAAUAUAAGGUGGUUUCACCACAAGUAGGCGAGUGCACCUCAAUGGCCCUUGCUGCAAUAUCAAUCACUGCCUGAUGUCUUGUUAACUAGUCAGUUCCCAAUAUGAUAUCCACGCUAUCCAAACCCAAAAUGAGGAGGUUCGUUUUGAUUAUCAAACUACCAAACUUUAUAGGCACAUUCUUGUUGAUUUGAUAGGUGGCAACCCUGCCUCCUGGUGUUGAAAUUGUAAUACCCCCAUUGGUGUGAUGGAAAGGUAGCUGACAUUUGGCACUAAAUUUUGUACUGGUAAAACUAUGUGAUGCACCAGAAUCAAAAAGAAUAAUUGCAGGAUAUUUCAAAACUGAAAAGAUACCAGUCAUGACGGGUGCUCCCUCUGGAAUGUCAGCCAUGGUGGUGAAGUUCAGCCUGCCUUGCCUCACUUGCACCUUCUGCCUCUUGCCUUAGUUCUGGUUGGCAUUAUGUCCCUGCCUCUGCUGGUUUCUAGGGCAAUUCUUUGCAUAAUGUCCCGUGUUACCACAAGUGAAACACUUGUUGUCAUUGGCCUGACGGUACUGCUGCUGUUGUGGCUGAUUGCUCCUCUGAACUGGAAACUGGGUGCUGCUGGGUGCCUGCUGCUGGUGCUGUGGUCGGAUCACCCAACGUCCUUGCUGCUGCUGAGGUCCUCUAUUCUGAGUGUCAGAUACGAUCCUGAAGCGCUGUGGCUGAGGUGAAGGUCCUGCCAUAGGGGUCUUCCUCUUCUUCUCUGCCUGACGGGCUGUGAUACAGUCCUCCUGAGAAAUAGCCAUGUUGACUAACUCAUUAUAGCUGUUGGCCCUGACUGUGUUGAGACGGUCGCGGAGCUUAGUGCUGAGCCCCUCCUGAACCUGUCCCUCUUCUUCUCAUCAGUGUCUGCAUGAUAUCCGGCAUACUGGCACAAGUCAUUGAAGGCCUGAGUGUAUUGUAACACUGUCCGAUUCCCCUGAGUGAGUGCCAGAAACUCAUUGAGCUUGCGGUCCAUAAUGUCUGCUGGUAUAUGAUGCCCCCUAAAAGCUGCCUUGAACUCUCUCCAUUCCACCUCAUGGUCAACUGGCUGCAUAUCAAUAAAGUGGUCCCACCAUGUCCGCGCGGGUCCUCGAAGCUGCUGGGUGGCGAACCUGACCUUAGUCACCUCUGAACAAACUCCAUUGAGUAGUGGGAAUUUGGAUUCCACUACCCUCAUCCAUACAUCAGCAUCAAGUGGAUCCUCCGCCCUGGUGAACAACGGUGGCUGGGUACUGAGAAACUCCUGAUAAGUGGCUACCGCCGGGUGACACUGAUGAUCACCACCACCAUAAUGCUGAAGUGGUGGCUGACGCUGAGCGAACUGUCGCAAGAUCUCGUUAUGCUGAGCCAUCAGCUCUUGCAGAGUAGGAGGCAGUGGUGGUGGUGGAGGAAUGCGCUCAUUCUGUCCACGACGCGCUCUUCCUGCCAUCUGAAAAAUCAUGGAUAUUCUCAAUAUCAUAUUUCUGUGGUUCAAUGUUCAAUCGUGGUGAAAGAGUCAAAGGGGGUAAAACCAAUAUAUAUUCUUGCAUAAUUUAUAAAAGAUUCCACAUGGCAUAAACUUUUCUUCUUAAAUUAAAGCUGACAUCAUUCAUCAUCCAUACUUCCAAAAGAGUUUGUCACGAUUACAUUAGUAACUCAAAAGACUCAACUCUAUCUAGCCUAGUACCCCAAGGGUGCAAAAGCUAAGCUAGCCUCGAGGAGUUCUACCGCCACAGACUUCUAACUCUAUCUCUGUGACCUAGUGAGCAAACGAGGCAACGCUCGACUCGGGGGAAGGUGGUCUCCCUGAGCCAAUAGUGUCCAAACUGGAGGCAGGCUCCUCUCCUCCCUCGAUGCCGACAUCCUCGUUGGCCUCCAUGUCCUGGAUCUCCUAGUGGUGCAUAUCCAAUGCUGGUUAGCCUCCGCAAGCUGUUGCUGAGUGUUGAUUAGCUGAUCCUCGAGAACCUCGAUGGUGUUCUCCCUGGUUCCCACUAACUCCUCAACUCUUGGAUCUCAUUUGACAAUUGUUCCACUUGUAAGUCUUUUUCCACCAUCUCAGUGGACAAGUCUACCACAAGUUCCUCCCUAUUAUCCAAGGUGAUCUUGGUAGCCUCCAACAAUGCCAUCAGAUGGGACAUGGCCUCUCCUCGCAUCACUUGCAGACGAUAUAGGGCAUCCAUGCACCGCACCAUCAAGUGAGCAGUCUGACCUGGGUAGAUAGCCCAUAUAUCCUUGGCAUGCUCCACUCAGUCCUUCCACAUUGGGUCGUCCUCCUUCUCUGUGGGGAACAAACCAAUGGGGUGAGUGGAUAGCUCCAAGGGGUGGAAACCACAGAAGGUGGUCAGUCCGUGAAGGGCAAUCGCCUCGAUAGUAUCCUCCGCCCUGUAUCCAAAAGACUUGGAAUCCAACGAACGCCAGCCUGGCUGUAGGGGAUGAGGCUCUAGGGUCAUACUCACCCUACAGCGGGGCACUAUGUGCUUCUCAAACAGCUGCACCACGUACUGGGGAGGCGUCGUGUAACCAGCUCCCUGAAGUACCUCCCACAAGAUAUGGGGGAAACCCUCUUGUGCAAGCCCGUCCGUGUGGGACUGUGCAUUCCCUUCGUCCGAGGAUCCGUGAGAAGUCAUCUGUGUACGGUUAAGCAUAAGUAAAAGAAAAAGAAUUAUAAAAUAAAAAGGGAUCACAACUCAGCCUCUCUAUAACUACGAUAAUGGCACUGGGUGUAUAUAAUCUGUCAUUAUUGUGUAUUAAAGUUCUUACCCAAUUAUUAAGUGGUUUAAAUAAGGAUGCAUGCAUGCUCGUCCUAAACGACCUCAUUUCAAUUUAGAGGGAUUAGGGAAGAACUCCCAUCCCUUAUAGUAGCCUGUAGGGCUUACUCAAAUAGCCACCUAGCUACCCCUCUAUCAUCCUAAGGCUUCACGUCCUAGGUCUAUCCUGAUCGUCCUACGAUCUAUCCAACAUUUGUUUCUAUCAAGUUUUACUUUGAAAAAAGGAUGGUAUUUAUAGUUUAUUGAUUCCUCUGUGGUGGUACGAGCUCCGAUACCAGCUGUGGCGGAACCGCCCGAAUUAUUCCAACUUAAGUGCCUAAGUCCCGCCUUAGAGGCUAGACCACGCUUAAAUAGGAAUAAACCGUCAGUCCCUCGGAUCUAGUCCGAUAAAGCCACUUAACAGGAUCAAGUACCACGUACUCACUCGAUGGUGAGGCACAGAGCAAAUACAAUAAAGCAUAAAACCAUACAUUAGGGAGUAUCAAAUUAUUACAUCAUCAUUGGAGUUUUAGCAAAAGUAGUACUCAUUGUUUGGAAUGCAGCGGAAUAAAACUAACGAUAAAUAAAUAGAGAGAAUGGGGAAGCCUGUCCUAUCACUCCUCAUGCUCCUCCUCGGCCGAGGUAGGGUCCCACCCGACUGUCCAACCCGGUGGCAAGAUGGACGGCCAAGUCACUCCAGCAACCAUAUCCUCCAAAGAACCUGAAAAAAAAUUAUGCCACAAGCAAGGCUGAGUAUACUAAUACUUAGCUAGACUUACCCGGUGUGAGGAGUCUACUCCUCUACCUCUAGACAUGCAGCUGUUUGGCUGAGGGGUUUGGUUGCCAAAAGCACUAGCUGAGUCUAUAAAUCAAGUUUUAGCUUUUUCAAGUUUUAGUGUGACUCUCUUAAGACUAAAUGUGUACUAUCUACUCAUUCAUGGUAUCAAGCAAUUUAGCAAUCAACAUCUUUUGCCAAAUCAUCACAUUUCCACUUGUUACUCAAUGUAGCAGCAUGGAUCAAGCAGUCUCAUUAGCUGAGAGAAGCAGACGAUUCGAAUCAAGUUUUUAUCCUUGCAAGGUAAACCUAAACACACGUCGUGGCGAGGCACUCCGUCCCCACACACAUCAACUGUCCCCAUCGAUUCCCCGUCAGC
rnacentral:lncRNA from 1 species